ensembl:lncRNA
CAAAUGAAUACGUGAGACAGCUCACAAUCUGGCAACCCGGCAAUGCCACCAAAUCAACCCGAAUCACCAGUGUAUAUAGGAUUGCCGCCGAUCUGGCAACUCUAUGGCCACUAUUCAAAUCAGUGGGAUUUGUGUCGAUCUGGCGCCCCUGCAUCAUCAUCAUCAUCAUCAUCAUCAUUCCCGGCGCGCGGGUGAGGUCGAUCUGUCUAAAGGCGCGCGCUGCGCUCACGUACACGCCAAAAAAAAAAAAACCCAGACAAGGCAACUAACUGCGUACUGGAGCGUGUGCACAUGGAUCCUUCUCUUCCUUUUCCCUUUCCUUUCUUUCCUGGAUGGAUAACAGUGCCUGCACACACGCAUGCAUGCACGCUCUCUCUCUCUCUCUCUCUCUCUCUCUCUCUCUCUCUCUCUCUCUCGCUGACUGUCUCUCUUUUUUUGGGAAUGUUGCAACCGGUCCCUGUGGAUGCUGUUUCUUAAUUCACACUCCAAUAAGGAUGGAGGGAGACACAGACAGACAGACACGGAGAGACAGUGACUGAGAGACAGACACAGUGAGAGAGAGAGAGAGAGAGAGAGAGAGAGAGAGAGAGAGAGAGGCGGAUGAUCACAAGGAGCUGUAACUUCACACAAUAUUUUAUUUUCGUCUCCACUUCUCCUUUUGUUUCAGCACCGGAGCGAGCACGCGAGACAGAGAGAAAAAUGGGGAACACUGACUCAUCCAAACAUGUGGAAUCUCAUACGCUGAUCACAUGACCCAGCCUACUCCGCUUCUGAUUGGUCCCGGCGCUGGAUCGAGAUCAAGCAGUCCCACAUCCCCUUUUUUCCCCUCCCUACAUGAAUCCACAUUCUUCAUUAACAAUAAUUCAGCACGGGAUACUUUAAGGAGGAUGAACAGGAGCAAAACGUUAGACACAAGCGUUGUUUUUGGAGGAAAAUGUUUCAAAAAAGUUUACCAGGUUGUGCACAGAUCUCUGGUUUAGAAUUCAGUUUCGUGCCGGAAUUAUAAAAAUGACUGACAUAUUUGGCCUCUGUAUCACUUCAUAUUUACACCCCAGUGAAACACUAAGAGUCCCUAAACACUCGGUGGAGGUAAAAAAAAAGUCAAAUAAAGAGCCCUUUUGUUCAUAAAGUUGUAUGGGUGCCAAUAAUUAUGAUACAGGUUUUUGCUGAAAGUUUACUUUUUCUUUACAUUAAAUUGACCUUUAAUUAACGGUUAGAUUUCUCCCAUAAUUAACCACAAAUACAAUAUUUUACAGUGCAUCUUUAAUCCAUCUUUUUUUACAAGGGUGCCAAUAAUUCUGGCGCUGACUGUAGGGGAAACAAUACAUUAUGUAGGUUGAUGAUAGUGCUUAUACAGUGUAGAUAUGAUUAAAUAUAUGUUCAUAGUGUCACAGAAAACUGAUUAGAGCGUACCGAGCAUAAUAUUUAGACCCCGAACAAACCAGGCGCCAUUUUUUUUUUCACUAACACGCCCGUUCCGCUUUUACUUCACAGUAAAGAUGCAUCCGAGUAAUUUAUCCGAGCAAUGGUGGGAAUUGCGGUUCUUCGCUUUAGCUUUAAGGUUGCAGAUAAUUGAGCUAGAACUCAAAACAAAGUUUAGAUUAAAGUGUAAUGUGAGUGAAAGUGUACCGAGCGCUGAUUGUGUCUGUAAUUGUUACUUUGCCAUUUAUCACAUUAAAAAUAUGCACGUUGGUGAGAUUUGCACUGUUUCUAGGCUGCAUUGCAACAAAACGCUGCCAUGUUUCUGAAUGAUUUAUGAUCUUCCUGAGCUUUAAAAAAACACCCUCGGGCUCGAAGGAACUGUUAUGUAGGAAAACUUUUUUUUCUCCUUUACAGAAUGACAGCGUAGUGUGGAUAAAAAACAAGCGCAGGUUUUCUCCCGUGCUCAAGUCGGCUAACACGCCCAGAACUAACCGGUGGAGAUUCCAAUAGAGCAAAUGGAGCGAUGGGGGUUCAUGAGUCAUCGAUGGAUUGGAACACGCCCUGCAAACGCAUGGCAGGUAGAAACUCCAGGCUCUCCUCCUACUCCUCCUCAGGCCGUUUGGGUGUGGGACGAUCGGCGUUAGCUGAGGAGGCAGAAGAAAAAAAAACAGAAAAACGGAGAGGAGUAAACAUAACUGACAAAGACAGGGGUGAACGAGUGCAGCCCCCUCCCUCCUUCUCUCCUUUCCCCUGCACACUCCUCCACUCCUUGUGGAGCCCCUCGAGUGAAAAACCAACCCAACCUGCUCCGUGCACAGGCUCGUUCGUGGAAACCUCGUCUGACGACCUCUUGUGCAAAUAUACGAGUGGUUACAAUGCGUUUGUUGUGGUCGUUUUUUCCUUGGGCGUUGUCCUGCUAGAACGCUCAGAACCUUCAACACUUUGUAGUUUGAUAUUUAUUUUUACGUGCCCCGGUAAUGUUUUUUUUCUACUUCCAAAAGUGACCUCGUUUCAUUCCGGGAGCCGUCAUCGCUGAGGCCUGCAGCGUCCUCUCAGGAAUUGACACUUGGACGGAAUCUCACAGUGUGAAGCGACCUGGAGCUCUCUGAGCGUCCGGCAUGGCAGCAAACAGCUUCUGAUGCGUUGAUGUUGCACAACGUGCCUGAAUAUGGGAGUGCAGGCUGCGUAAACAGUGUGCGCUUGGCUGUGGGGAGUGUGUGUACUUUCACCACCCUCGCCUCACGCUCCACUUCACCCUGACCACCACGCCAUUCAUGCACUUUAACUUUAACAAGUAGUGAACAUUUUUGACUACAGUGGUUUAACAUGGGCAGUCAUUUACUUGUCUAAUACACACUAUGGAUGCAGCAGGUUUUUUCGUUUGUCGUUACCAAAAUGAGUAACUUUCUUAGCAUUAAUGAAUCACAUACAUUACAGAACUGUUUUAUUUACCAUUGGUUGGUUGUUGUCAUGUGCCCGCGAUGAACUCCUCGUACUGAGUUUUAUGUUUAAGAUGUUUAAUACAGCGCAAGAAUGCGGUCUAGAGGUCGACAAGAUAGUGGAUUUAACUAAGUUGCGCUGCUGAAAACCCAUUAAUCAACUAAUCUUUUUGCUCAUAACCAGCAAUCGGUUAUUGGUGCCAAUUAAUCAGCAAAACCGAUCAACCGGCCGACCUCUAAUGCGGACCAACCUGGAAAGUGGGCAUGUCUCAGUGCUCGCAGAAGUGAAAUGAUCUCUGUCACAUGCGACAGUUUCUCUGUACACGCGCUUCACUGCUACUUUUGUGUUUGCACAAUUCAUAGCGCUCAAAAUGUAUGCAAUCUGAACUAACCUCGCGUACUUCGUGUGCUAAUUCGCUUUCAGUAAUCACUUAGAAAGGCAAAAUUCUUCCAAGUCUGUAAUCUUUCAUUGAAGUGCAGCGACGUUUCCUCGCCUCUAAACAGCCACACGUGUCAUGUGGGUAAUACGAAACGAGUAUCGAAGCUUAGUAGUGGACUUUGUAUCAAAACGUGGUUAUAGCUGUGUAUUCAUUGUUGCUAGGGAACUGGAUAUAUUCACGAUUUAGCUAGCCAGUUUAUGGCAGUUAAGUCGUCUAUAUGUGCAGUGACGAUGAAAACGAGUCAAAAAUAUCAAAAUUACUAGUAAAAUAUACUGUUCGUCUAAAACAAUACUGUACUUAUAUACACUUAGCAUCGCCCACCAACCAAACAUCUGCAUUACUGAGAUGUGAACUUUUUAUGAAGUGAAAAAACACACAAAUAGAGCAAGAGUGAACGUUUUUUAUGGAAUCUUCUGACCCGUGCCUGCAUUCAAAGCCUUUGAAGUCUUUUUUUAAAAAGGAGAAUCUCUCUCAUAAAUCUUAAUGCCCUGGACUGUCACAUGGCUCCUUGGUGUGUUUAAACGGCUCGUCUCAUUUUCAAAACAAAUUUCUCGUCACUUAAGUGAGAGAUAUUUUUAGGAUGUUCUGGGUGGAACUUCCCUUCAGGCUAUGACGAAAGAUAUGGUCUUUAGUAACAUGACGUGUUGUGCAACGCGCUAAUAAAUCUCACUUCGUGCAGCAUAACUAUUAAAACGGCUCUUUAAAGCAGAGAGGGAUUUUAGCCUUAAGGAUUUCAUAUCAGAGGAACAGAACCCUCAGAUUUCUCUGCUGUAGAAAACUCGAAACACUAAGAUGCUUUCAUAUUUGGCUUUUUUUUUUUCAAAAAAAAGAAAGAAAAAUCAUUGGCUGAUAUGAAAACAAAAGCCCACAUGCUCACAUGACCUGCACACUCUUGUAACCAUGACAACACUCUUACCAGUCCUAUCUAAGUUAAAGUGGGACGUCGCAUCCCAAAAAUACACACGUUCUUAUUUUUUGGUUUCAUUGUUGGAAUAUGACCAAUUAUUCAACUGUAAAAUGUAGCGUUCACUCGUUCACUAACGGAAAACUUAAAGUUACAGCUUCACAAAGCGCCAACACUGGAGACUCCUUCCACAAAUCUAAACCACAUCAAUGAUUGCACAUGUAUUAGAACGAGCGCAUUAAUAUUAAUAUAAACCCGUGAUUUGCAGCUGCGCUACCGUCAGAGCUGCUGUUCUUGAAAAUUAAUCAACACCUUCGGACCAAUCACGAUCCAGAAUCCAACAUCGCUGUGGGAUAAGGAGUCCCCCACCCCCCCCCCCCCCCAUUCCCUUUAUGCUCAUUGCUCAUGAUUAAAAUUUUGGCAGAAUUUGGUAGCUGAAAUUUCUGAUGAGAUGUCUGAGGAUGUUCUGUUCCAGAUUCAGCCAUUAUAUUUAAACUGAAUGUAAAUGUGACAUUAACAAUCGGAGUGUGGUGUCCAGGAAUAAACGUGGAGGGUGUGAAUGGAUGAGUGGGAUGACGGACGUGUGAAGAAUAUUGAGAUUACUUGAGAGAGAAAAAAAAAACACGAAGCAUCACUUCCUGGUUCUAGCAGUGAACUAAACACUGAUCAAUAUGCAGCAUAUCAUCAUCGUUUGCAUGAACGUCUGCAGAGUCGUAUCGGUAAAGAUUCUCCGCUCCUGUUCAUUCGCCAUCCAUGUUUUGUUCCACAUUCAUCUGGGGAGACUUCAUCACCACUUUGACUAUCCAUCUCUGGUAUCUGGAAUGCUGGGCUCUGUGCUGGAACACAUACAGUCUUUCCCAGAACGUUCUCUUGAUACUGUUUUCCAUUGCACAGUUUCCAAACAUCAUUGUUGAGAUGUCAUUUUAUUACUAGGUUAUUACACACAUAUUCUUUAACCCUUCAGAAUAUAUUCACUUACAAAUAAGAUCCCCUGAGAUAUGUUGCCCCCCUGUCCAGGGUGUCCCCCGCCUUCCCUGCGAUAGGCUCCAGGCUCUCGGUAUUGAAGAUGGAUGGAUAAAUAAAGACCAUGUAGAAAGAGAACAUACUUGUCCUGUUCUGCUCUUUACUAUCACUUUAUAGCAACACUAGCUGGUCAUGGACGAGUUAGCUCGUGUACACUGAAUGGGGCAUGAGCAGCGGUUUGAGGCUUCACAUCCCGUGAUGUUUAAUGCAAAUGAGUUGUGACUUUAAUUAGAUUUUUUUUUAAAUGUAGCCAUGUAAAUUUGUGCAAAAGAAAAGUGUUCAUUCUGUAGUCAGUAGAUCAUGAGUUUGUAUUCCACAGGUGUGUCAUGCUGGCUGAUGGGUGGAAAUUGACAGAUUAUCAAAUUGGGAAUAGAGUGAGGAAAAUCAAGCAAUUUAAAUUGGGCAAAAGCAAGGUCAGUUUAUUUAAGGAGGAAAUAAAAGACGGAAAUUAGAUGUAUAAAUAAUUAAAAAUCAGUGCAAAGUGAAGGUACAAAAUGCUUCAGUGUCGAAAGCACAGGGAAAUGGGAUACAAAGAACAUCAGUCACUGGUCAAAAUAUCGGAAAAUUUCUACUGCAAGGACAGAAAAACAUGUGGGGGUCAAGAGAUUCAGCAGUCCCUCCAGGAUUUUGUGAUAGCAGAAUCUAGUAAACUCUGCAAUUUUUGGAAGAACUUGCAAUUGUUUUCAAAAUUACAGCAGAUUUUCUAGGUUCGGGCCGAGACGUGUCAUGUGUCAUCAUCACGACAUGCAUCCAGCCUCCUCGAUUCACGUGCAUCAAACAUGAGUACAGCUAAAAGGUCUCAUUUACCAACAAACAUCACUGUGAAAGACCAUGUAAAACUAUUUCCUGUAAUUGUGAUUUUGGCAAUUUAAGUACACGGUAAAAUCCCUAGUGUUGAAUUAACACCCAGAGUGUUCAUUUGUGUCCAGUGGCCUCAUAUAAACACUGUAGGGUGUUAAUUCAACACUCGCGAUUUUGUUGUGUAGUUUUCUGAAAAAAAAAAAGCACAAAAAAACCUCUGCAAGUUGCAUUGCACAUUUGUGGCAAAAUGAAGCGUUUUUGGCUGAAACAACAAAAAAAAAGCUGAGAAAUCCUGUACAGACUGAUUCAACUGUUAUCAGUAAACCGAGCCAAAUAACUCGACUGACUCACUGGAAAGAGCUGGAAUUCCCAUUACUAAUCUACAAUAUCUGAACUCAUCUGGUAAAAAGAGAGAGAAAAACGCAUUAUACACUAACGAGUUUGUUUUGUCUUGCAUUCCACCUCGCUAUCGCAGAAAAAAAAGAAGCGGCACUGUGAUUGGCUGCCUUCCAGCUACACCUACUUCCUUUGCUAGCAUGUAUAUCAGUAUGUUUACAUGGACAACAAUAUUCCAAUAUUAACCUGAUUAAGACGAUAGUCUGAUUAAGAAACUACCAUGUAAACAGCGAUUUUUUAUUACCUUGAUCCGUUUAAAGUCACUCGAAGUAAACACAAAUCAAAUUAAGACAUGGGGAGUUCUCCUGUUUUAGUCACAUUAUCGAAGUGUAUUAUAGACAUGUACAUGCCUUAAUCACAUUAUUAACGCCAUGUGGGAGUUUUCACCGCAUUUUGUGACAGGAUACGAUCACACACGGCAGUGCUCAACCGUUUGACGGCAAACAGGAGAGCACGGCUGUGUCCCAAACCAUGUACUUACCUGCUAUAUCGUAGGAGAAAUACAUGUAUCUCAGCUACUAUAUUGUAGGUAAGUACGCAGUUUCAGACGCAGCCCAUGGCUUCAAGCAGUGGUCUGUUUGCACGUAAAGCAUGACAAAUAACUGCACUUGAAGCUUUCAUAAAAUUAAAAAUGAAACACCCAAAACUUUAUACAGUACCAUAACGAAGACGAACUGUAUGUCGAUACGUGAAAUUCUGGAGGGAACGUCAGACGGCGUGGCAUGGUGAAGUAAUGACGUUUGCAAUUAAUUCAUCUAUGUUCUAUAACAUGUAAAACAUGGACAUGAAAGGAGUAUUCUAAAAGCAACUCAUGUAAACACCUUAAUCAGGAUAUCGUCUUUUUCAGAAUAAGGUCAAUAAUUAGAAUACUGCUGUCCAUGUAAACGUAGUCAAUGUGAAUACACCUGUGUGUUGUGUGUACAAGCAAGUCAGAUGAGUCCAGUGUUACUCUCUUCUCAAUAAAUACAAUUACAUUUGAUUACACAUUCCUCUGUGUGUUAUUACUUGUGUGAUUAUCUUACCUUUUUUUCUUUUUUUAAGUAAACGUACUACAGUAUUAUUACAGUAUAACCUGUUAGACUUUGUGGUUCACUGCGUUUUCCUGUUUUCUGUAUUAUGUUAUUUAGUGACAAGGUCCUCAUUUCCACAAACAUGCACGUGAGACUCAGAUUAGCCACAUAAAAAAAGAACUUCCAUAACGAAUUCAAACAAGCUAACAGAAAACCCGUGUUGCAUCACAGAGAAGAGCUCUUAGGCCUAGCGAUGUGACGAUAUGUAUGUUUAUAUUGCAAUAAAUGAUGUUACACGUGAUAUCUUUUUGUAAUUUUGUGAUUUUUUAAAAACAAUUACAAACUCUAGAAGCAGCUGAUUUGAUGUUAAAAUCUUUAAAAUGUUAAAAUGUUGAAAAUUUUGAAUUUUUUAUUUUCCUUCCUUUUCAGUGUUGUUGCAUAAAUAAUCGUUAAUACGGCAACGGCUAAUUAGCCUAUUAUUUAUCAGACUAAACAUCGUAACUUCGGGCCUUCGCAGUAUAAUUAGCAGAUAACUAACGUUCGAUUUGCUAAUCUGACCGAGGAUAAAGUGAACACGUUAAACAUGUAUAACUAGCUGUGCGGGAUAGAUAGUAUAGCUACGGUUUUGCCAUCUGAACGUUACUUCUACUCAAUUCUCAGUGUUCAAACUGAUGCAGUGCAUUUUGGGUAACACACACAGACUCUGAGCCACGGGCAAUAACAUUGUAUAAACACUGAAAUAACGAAGCUGCUAGAACUAAUUUAACGCGUUCUAGCAUUUUAUGAAAAUAGCAGCGAGAACACUAGAUAAAGUUAAACGUUUGGGAUGGACCCUCACACACACACACAUACACAUGCGCACACAUACACACACACACACACAAACACAGACACACUUCACCCAUCACAUUUCUGAUACGGGCGGUGGUGCGUUGGAGUCCUCAGAGAUGCAGUGUGGGCGUUAACAGAUUACUCCUGUGAGUCGGGGAGUAGAUUUAGGGGAAGUUACAAAUGCAUGACCCUUAAUUUCUUCUCCCACGGAAAGAAUGUAAAGCAAAUGUUCAAGAUAUUACUUCCAGAUUCUUAAAUAAAAGCCUUUACAAGACAAACAAAACAGCAAAGAACAUGGAGCUUAUCCGACACAUGACUAAAGGAAAUUCAUUUGGUGUUUUGCGCUACUGAGAGCACGUUUCUGUCUCCAUCUUCGGUCUCACACGUGUCACAUGACCUCGCUUAAUUCACGACAUACAGGACCGCAAAUUACUUUAGAGAAAAAAAUUUGUUACAUCAUGCUACUGUGUCUUCUGCAGAUAUAAAGUGAGGCUUUAUCUCCUCACCAUGAACCAACAUGAACCAGGAAGGAUUACAGUUUCAUUCUGGAUUAAGUCGAGGUUUUUCUGUAAAUCCAGCUGCUUUCAAAUUUAAGCAAAGUUUAUAAAAUAAUGACGGCUGCAUUUAGACCCCUGUAUUACAGUGGUGCUUGAAAGUUUUGAACCCUUUAGAGUUCAUAAAUAACCUAAAAGAUAAGAUGUACCUUUAUUAAAAGUAGAUAAAGAGAACCCAAUUAAAAAAUUGAGACAAAAAUAUUAUACUUGGUCA